AUGAACGCUGGCGGCGUGCCUAAUACAUGCAAGUCGAGCGAACGGACGAGAAGCUUGCUUCUCUGAUGUUAGCGGCGGACGGGUGAGUAACACGUGGAUAACCUACCUAUAAGACUGGGAUAACUUCGGGAAACCGGAGCUAAUACCGGAUAAUAUUUUGAACCGCAUGGUUCAAAAGUGAAAGACGGUCUUGCUGUCACUUAUAGAUGGAUCCGCGCUGCAUUAGCUAGUUGGUAAGGUAACGGCUUACCAAGGCAACGAUGCAUAGCCGACCUGAGAGGGUGAUCGGCCACACUGGAACUGAGACACGGUCCAGACUCCUACGGGGGGCAGCAGUAGGGAAUCUUCCGCAAUGGGCGAAAGCCUGACGGAGCAACGCCGCGUGAGUGAUGAAGGUCUUCGGAUCGUAAAACUCUAUUAUUAGGGAAGAACAUAUGUGUAAGUAACUGUGCACAUCUUGACGGUACCUAAUCAGAAAGCCACGGCUAACUACGUG
rnacentral:rRNA from 1 species